rnacentral:rRNA from 1 species
GAUGAACGCUGGCGGCGUGCCUAAUACAUGCAAGUCGAGCGAACGGACGAGAAGCUUGCUUCUCUGAUGUUAGCGGCGGACGUGUGAGUAACACGUGGAUAACCUACCUAUAAGACUGUGAUAACUUCGGGAAACCGGAGCUAAUACCGGAUAAUAUUUUGAACCGCAUGGUUCAAAAGUAAAAGACGGUCUUGCUGUCACUUAUAGAUGGAUCCGCGCUGCAUUAGCUAGUUGGUAAGGUAACGGCUUACCAAGGCAACGAUGCAUAGCCGACCUGAGAGGGUGAUCGGCCACACUGGAACUGAGACACGGUCCAGACUCCUACGGGAGGCAGCAGUAGGGAAUCUUCCGCAAUGGGCGAAAGCCUGACGGAGCAACGCCGCGUGAGUGAUGAAGGUCUUCGGAUCGUAAAACUCUGUUAUUAGGGAAGAACAUAUGUGUAAGUAACUGUGCACAGCUUGACGGUACCUAAUCAGAAAGCCACGGCUAACUACGUG